GUAGCUUCGGUAGCUCAGCAUGGUAGAGCGUGAGGACCAACAUUCUCGAGGGCGUAGGUUCGAUUCCUACCCGAUUACA